rnacentral:misc_RNA from 1 species
AUUUGUUCAUGGUCAAACAAAGCGAGGUCUGAGGCUCAUUCAAAGUCAAAUCAAGGGGAGGGGUACGAUGAAUACAUUGAUUAUCUGAGUCCGUCUAGUCUCGACAAGACGGGGAGGGGCUCCUUCGUUGUCUUAAGUGGAGCUGGGCACUACCAAAAGACCAAAGGCGGGCUAUGCUUAACACAGGGGAUUGGGUGUUUGGAUGUAAGGGAAGUCCCUCAGAAAUCUCAAAUCUAGAUCUUUCGAGAAUUGAGUGCUUUAAAGUGAUUGAUAGAAUAGAAUAAAUGAUUAGAUUAGUGACUAUAUAUACGAAGAUCUCACCCCUUCUUCCUAUAUUAUAUGUCUUUAUGCCGUACUCCUUAUGAGUUGAAA